GCCGAAAUGGUGAAAUGGUAGACACAGGGGACUUAAAAUCCCCAGCUCGAUGAGAGCGUGCGGGUUCGAGUCCCGCUUUCGGCA
rnacentral:tRNA from 1 species